CUGUGUUUUUUGCUACCUCUUGGUUGGACAGGAGGUCCAAUCCACAUGAUUGGGCAGACCGUUUGCCCAUCAUGGCACACUAAUUGCAUAUUUUUCCCACCGGACAAACCGCCUUUGCUCCAUUCCAUCCCUCUUUUUUUCCGGUGCCAAGAAUGGCACUCCAAAUCAAGAACUGAAAUGAGCAUGUUCAGGCAUGCGCAAGUCAUUUUUUACUGAGAUCAGCCAGAAUUAUGUUGCAUUGCAGUUCAGUUCAAAACUCAUCUCCAAGUCUUAAUUACUCUUUCAAUUAAACUCCUUCAGUUUCUAAUCAACACAUUUGGAGGUAACAGGACAAUAUUUAAUAUUUGUUAUGCUG